rnacentral:rRNA from 1 species
CCUACGGGAGGCAGCAGUAGGGAAUCUUCGUCAAUGGGCGCAAGCCUGAACGAGCAAUGCCGCGUGAACGAGGAAGGUCUUCGGAUCGUAAAGUUCUGUUGAAGGGGAAAAAGAGCGGAGAGAGGAAAUGAACUCCGAUUGAUAUUACCCUUCGAGGAAGUCACGGCUAACUACGUGCCAGCAGCCGCGGUAAUACGUAGGUGGCGAGCGUUAUCCGGAAUGAUUGGGCGUAAAGGGUGCGUAGGCGGCCUGCUAAGUCUGGAGUGAAAGGUACCGGCUCAACCGGUACAGGCUCUGGAAACUGGCGGGCUAGAGAGCAGGAGAGGGCGGUGGAACUCCAUGUGUAGCGGUAAAAUGCGUAGAUAUAUGGAAGAACACCAGUGGCGAAGGCGGCCGCCUGGCCUGUUGACUGACGCUGAGGCACGAAAGCGUGGGGAGCAAAUAGGAUUAGAUACCCGGGUAUC